rnacentral:rRNA from 1 species
CACUUCCUCGGGGCGCAGCAGUGAGGGAUAUUGGUCAAUGGACGGAAGUCUGAACCAGCCAUGCCGCGUGCAGGAAGACGGCUCUAUGAGUUGUAAACUGCCUUUGUACAAGGGUAAACCUGAAUACGUGUAUUCAGCUGAAAGUACUGUACGAAUAAGGAUCGGCUAACUCCGUGCCAGCAGCCGCGGUAAUACGGAGGAUCCAAGCGUUAUCCGGAUUUAUUGGGUUUAAAGGGUGCGUAGGCGGAUUGAUAAGUUAGAGGUGAAAUGUCCGAGCUUAACUCGGGAACUGCCUCUAAUACUGU